CUGAUCUAUUUCAGACUCCAUUGGGCAACACAGACAACACGUCUGGGCUGUACUACAAUGUCUCAUUGACCACCAACUUUAUGCCAAGACUGAAAAAUGCGCAUUCCAUCACCUCUCUACAUCUUUUCUGGGUUACAUCAUCAGUCCAGAAGGGGUUGCCAUUGAUGAUCAGAAGAGGCGUGCAGUGUUAAACUGGCCAAGACUGUAAAGAAGCUACAACGCUUUCUAGGCUUUGCAACAUCUACCGACGUUUUAUAAAGUACUUCAGUAGUAUAGCAGCACCUUUAACGUCCCUAGUCCGAAAAGCCUGCAACAGACUAAACUGGAACCUGGACGUGGAUCGGGCGUUCGAAGAUCUAAAAUCACUUUUCACUUUUGCCCCUGUGCUUCGUCAUCCAGAUCCUGAUCCUGUCUAUGAACCCGGCCAACUGAUAUGGCUUUCCACCAGAGACCUCAGACUUCGACUCCCUUGCAAGAAACUAAGUGCCAGAUCUGGGGUGGCUGUGGAUUUCGGUCGGACGGAGCCCCCUCCUAUCAUCGUAGAAGGCGAGGAUGCUUACCAGGUCCGCUAGUUGCUGAACUCCAGACUUCAAGGCUCCACCAUUCAAUACCUUGUGGACUGGGAGGUGUACGGCCCGGAGGAAAGAUCCUGGGAGGAUGCCAAUAACAUCUUAGACCCAAAUCGCAUCGCUGACUUUCAAAACUCAUCUGGAAAAGCCAGCCCCUCGAGCUCGAGGUCGUCCCCGAAAGAACCCCGCCUCGCUGAUUUUCCCUCACCUGUUCCGCAUCAGUGGGGCUAUUUAACCUGGGACUCUAACACACGAUCCUUGCAAAGUCUUGUUUGCCCCGUGCUGCAUUUCUAAGCGCUUGUUCCUAGUUUACUCGUGUUUGAAUUCCCUGGUGGGUUUUUUUUGGACUGUCUUACCGUUUAUGAUUGUUAUCUGCCUGCCCCGACCUUGGACUGCCUUAUCGUUUAUGAUUGUUAUUUGCCUGCCCCGAUCUUGGACUGGAUUAACGUGUAUGAGUGUUACCUGCCUGCCCUGAUUCUGGACUGUAAUACUUUGUGUGAGUUAUUACUGCAUACCACUGCCUUUCUUCUGUGUCUUGUGUAUAUAUCACAAUAAAGAUUUGCACAUGGGCCCUAA